CCACUUUAGAGUAUUAAUUUUAAAAAAAUGAAGUUAUGGAUCACACGUGAAAGAUCCUAAAUAAGAAUAACAAUAAUCAACUAGAAACAACUUUUAACACUAGAUUCAAUACUUUACUAACAUUAUUUUUCACCAAAAAAUGAAUCCAAACAAAAGUAUAAACAAAAAAUAUAUAUCAACACAUUUUUAUGAAAAAAAGAAAGAUAUUAAGCAGAAAAGAAAAAAGAGAGAUUCCUUUUACAGAAAGGAUGAGUCGGUAGUAAGUAGUCAUAGCAAUAAAAGUUACCUGAAGUAGAAAACUAAAACAAAUCAGUGUGAAAUCGAUGUAAAUUAUUUGUGCAUAACUCUAGAUGUUUGCUUAAACCCUAACACCUAUUUUCAGAAAAUUUAAUUCUACAAAAACCUCUAUUUUAAGAACAUUCAAUCUUACUUCAAUCUAUCCAAAAUGGAAAGAGUUUAUAGUUAUAAUAUUAUAUUUUCUUAACACCCAAUCGACUAAAAUCUCUGUUUUUAGUGGUUGAGUGAAACAAUUCCUAGUUAAGGUCCAUAUUAGCAAUCGGAAAACAAUGGUAUGCCAAGUUAAAAUUGCAAGACAAUGGUAUGUCAAGUUAAUUUGAUAUUCUUAUGCAGUAAUAUAACCAAAACUCUUAGUGGAGUUCUUAUUUUUCAAAGAUAAACAGUUGAAACUCAUCAAAAUCGAAGAUGGCCUAGAUGAAGAAAUAUUGCAAAUUGGAAAUAGGAUUUUAAUUUUAUGACCAGUUCUUGAUAAACGCAGCUUGGGAAAUUGAUUCCACUUGAUAUCUAAACCAACAAAUCGAUUUGGGAAAACUAGAGCUUUGAAAUCGAAUAUGGAGUUUGAGCGCUUACCUUUCUAGAUGGAGACUUGCUUUAGAGCUUCGAGAUGGAGUCUUGUUUCAGAGCUUUGAGUGUUACCAGCUUCAAGAUGGAGUUUUAAAUCUAAAUGGAUUUUCCGAGAUGGAGACUAGGAGUUUCAGAACUUCAUCUGAAAAUGUUAGUGUGAAUAUUUUAUGCCCUAAAAAUAUAUCACUUAAAAAUAUUUUGCAACAGAAUUA
rnacentral:lncRNA from 1 species